GUGCCAGCCGCCGCGGUAAUACCGGCAGUCCGAGUGAUGGUCGAUAUUAUUGGGCCUAAAGCGUCCGUAGCUGGCCGAGCAAGUCUGUCGGGAGAUCUAGUAGCUCAACUACUAGACGUCCGGUGGAAACUGUUCGGCUUGGGACCGGAAGAUCCAAGGGGUACGUCCGGGGUAGGAGUGAAAUCCUGUAAUCCUGGACGGACCACCGAUGGCGAAAGCACCUUGGAAGCACGGAUCCGACAGUGAGGGACGAAAGCUAGGGUCUCGAACCGGAUUAGAAACCCCGGUAGUC
rnacentral:rRNA from 1 species